UUUUUAUUUGAUAAUACUAAUGAUUAAGCUAACUUUUAAAGUAGAGAAGAGUAACAUUACAUGAUUGCUAUAGCGCCUACCAAAAUACAUUUCCGUAUACAUUUUCAUUCGAUACUAAAUUAUGAUUUUUAUAAUUACGAUAUUAAAUAUUAUAAUUUUUGUCGUUAUUAUAUUAUAAUAGCAUUGAAUUUAUUAUUAUAUAUUAUACAAUGUCAUAACAAUGAAAAUUUUGACAUUUAUUGCCACAUGAAAACAUACCUUAAUGAGUGGUAUAUGUAGCAAUGCGUCAUGUUAAUCUCUUUUUUAUUAAUUUUUUCCCUUACUACAAAUGAAAAUGUGAUGUCAUAUGACGUUGAUGAUAUUAGAGAGAGAAUGGAAAUAGAAGUAAUGUAAUGUCAUUUUUUUAAAAGAAAGUUUUUACGAUACGUUAUUUAAGAUCGGAUUGUCAAGCGACUUAUAGAAUUUGAUACUAUAUUUUAAUUAAAAAUAAUAGAAAAAUUAAUUGAGAAUUACUAUUAUAUAAAUAUAUAUAUAUGUAUGAUAAAUAUACGAGAAUAUUGUCCAUCAAUGUAAUAAUUUUUUGUAAUUUCGUAUAAAUAUUUUGAUGUUUUAAAAAUAUAAUAUGAAGAAAUAAAAUUAAAAAAAAGAAAACCUAUAUGAACUCAAA